UGAACCAGAUGAACAUGUCCGUCUUUUUAAACACUGAUUUGCUCCCCUCACAUCAAAACAGCGUCGUUUUGAUCCCCUACAAAAAUAAAUAAAUAAAUAAAAUAUACACGGACAGAAGGCCCCUCGGCCCCUCCCUCUCCCUUCUCUCUCGGUCUCACCAAAAUCAUCCUAAUUUUUGAAACCCUAUCAGCGCAAACAAGGAAGCCACGUCCCCACCAUUAACCCACCACUAUCGCCUUCAUCUUCUCCGUCGUCAUCAUCAUCAUCAUCGCCUCCAUCUUCUUCUAUCAGAGCCUCUUCUUUCUCUCAUUCUAAUUUUUUACUCAGCAUCGGACGUUCCUGUCUCUAGGAUUCCGUGAAAAUAAUUUUGUCAACAGCUAGUACCACUAACAAACACGCUUUCCUCAAUCGAAGAAUUCCAGAAUCGUUGGAUUUGAAUGGCAAGAACGAUCUCGAUGAGAUCUUUGGUGGCGAGUCAUACCCCGUUAAAUCCACUCUCUGCCCUUGAAGUUGUACCGGAGUAUCACUAGCUAUUCUGCAGGAGCAGUUUUAUAUGGCUACGGAACCUAGAAUAACCCAAUAAUAUUUAUGAUUAUGAUUAUGUUUGGUUCAGUUUAUGUUUGUUUAUUUUAUUAAUUUUACUUAUUAUGAGUGACUGAAAUCUAAACA